rnacentral:rRNA from 1 species
AACGAACGCUGGCGGCGCGUCUUAAACAUGCAAGUCGAACGUGAACCCUAGUGCUUGCAUUGGGGGGAAAGUGGCGAACGGGUGAGUAACACGUGGAUAAUCUACCUCCGGGUUGGGGAUAACCGGCCGAAAGGUUGGCUAAUACCGAAUAAGAUGAUAGUUACCUAGGUAGCAGUCAUUAAAGGUGGGGACCUUCGGGCCCACUGCCGGGAGAUGAGUCCGCGGCCCAUUAGCUAGUUGGUGGGGUAACGGCCUACCAAGGCGACGAUGGGUAGCCGGCCUGAGAGGGUGUACGGCCACAUUGGGACUGAGACACGGCCCAGACUCCUACGGGAGGCUG